rnacentral:piRNA from 1 species
UCCUCUUGAAAACUGCCUUCUCGAAGUCCA